rnacentral:tmRNA from 1 species
GGGGAUGUUUUGGAUUCGACAGGUAUAGGUCGGGCUCAGAUUGCGUCUGGUAGGUUGCGGCUACCAUAAAACGCUCAGUUUAAAUUAUAACUGCAAAAAAUAAUAACUAUUCUUACGCUUUAGCUGCCUAAAAACAGCGGGUGUAGAUUCGAAGAAGUAUUGUCCACGUGCUUUUUUCGGGUCUUAAAUCUAGUGGACUACGCUUAAAGCUCACACCUGAAGCAAUAAGAAGAGAUUAAUCAGGCUAGUCAGAAACGUUGGCCGUGUUGCAUGGCGUUGUUUUUGAUGAAAGUUAAAUAAUGUAACUAUGGGCGUAGAGGUUUGAGUUGCGAUAUGCUUGGACGCGGGUUCAAUUCCCGCCAUCUCCAU